UACGUAGGAUGCAAGCGUUGUUCGGAAUUACUGGCGUAAGAGUACGUAGGCGGUUUGGUAAGUCUGAUAUUAAAGACCGGAGCUCAACUUCGGGGACUGUAUCGGAAACUGUCAGACUAGAGGACAAUAGAGGAAGUCGGAAUUCUCAGUGUAGCGGUGAAAUGCGUAGAUAUUGGGAAGAACACCAGUGGCGAAAGCGGACUUCUGGGUUGUUACUGACGCUGAGGUACGAAAGCGUGGGGAGCAAACGGGG
rnacentral:rRNA from 1 species